AGUGAACGCUGGCGGUAGGCCUAACACAUGCAAGUCGAACGGCAGCACAGUAAGAGCUUGCUCUUACGGGUGGCGAGUGGCGGACGGGUGAGGAAUACAUCGGAAUCUACUUUUUCGUGGGGGAUAACGUAGGGAAACUUACGCUAAUACCGCAUACGACCUACGGGUGAAAGCAGGGGAUCUUCGGACCUUGCGCGAUUGAAUGAGCCGAUGUCGGAUUAGCUAGUUGGCGGGGUAAAGGCCCACCAAGGCGACGAUCCGUAGCUGGUCUGAGAGGAUGAUCGGCCACACUGGAACUGAGACACGGUCCAGACUCCUACGGGAGGCAGCAGUGGGGAAUAUUGGACAAUGGGCGCAAUCCUGAUCCAGCCAUACCGCGUGGGUGAAGAAGGCCUUCGGGUUUUAAAGCCCUUUUGUUGGGAAAGAAAAGCAGCAGGUUAAUACCCCGCUGUUCUGACGGUACCCAAAGAAUAAGCACCGGCUAACUUCGUG
rnacentral:rRNA from 1 species